ACUUUUAAUGGAUAGCAGCAGUCCGA
rnacentral:tRNA from 1 species